GAUGAACGCUGGCGGCGUGCCUAAUACAUGCAAGUCGAGCGAACGGACGAGAAGCUUGCUUCUCUGAUGUUAGCGGCGGACGGGUGAGUAACACGUGGAUAACCUACCUAUAAGACUGGGAUAACUUCGGGAAACCGGAGCUAAUACCGGAUGAUAUUUUGAACCGCAUGGUUCAAAAGUGAAAGACGGUCUUGCUGUCACUUAUAGAUGGAUCCGCGCUGCAUUAGCUAGUUGGUAAGGUAACGGCUUACCAAGGCAACGAUGCAUAGCCGACCUGAGGGGGUGAUCGGCCACACUGGAACUGAGACACGGUCCAGACUCCUACGGGAGGCAGCAGUAGGGAAUCUUCCGCAAAGGGCGAAAGCCUGACGGAGCAACGCCGCGUGAGUGAUGAAGGUCUUCGGAUCGUAAAACUCUGUUAUUAGGGAAGAACAGAUGUGUAAGUAACUGUGCACAUCUUGACGGUACCUAAUCAGAAAGCCACGGCUAACUACGUG
rnacentral:rRNA from 1 species